GCCUUGCUAGCUCAAUCGGUAGAGCGUGUGACUUUUACACUUAUGUAAUUGGCAAUCCCAAGGUUGCGGGUUCGAGUCCCGCGUGAGGCU